CACACACACACACACACAUACACAUACGUGUUUUGCUAUACUUGUGAGGACCAUGACCCUGACCCAUCUUGUGAGGACCCCCCUUUCUGCUGACACUAGGAGGAUGAAAAAAAUAGUUUGACCAUUAGAUGGGAGUAGAGAGCCAGAAAAUGACUUCAAAUGUUUAAACACACGAUGGUCACACAACUGGUGAAGUUGGUGGGUGUUGUGAGGACCGGUCGGUUGCUAGGCAGAUUUAAGAUCACAUGAUCUGCUUUCUAAGGCUUUUUGGCAGCAGUUUUGAUUAGUUAUAUGUGCUGAACCUAUUAGUCCAAAGAACAGUUUUGCUAUAUUUAACUCACUGAUGCUUAUUAAACCCUUAUUAAUUGGUUGUUAUUCCUUGUAUAUUUAUGAACUUUAUAUUUUUUCAUUAACUUGUAAUGUCUUAAGCUGCUGUCAACACUACAGCAGUGUUGGAAGUAGCUAUCUACCUCAUCUGAUCAUUUCAAAACAAAUUAAAUUUUAGUAUGCAAUGAUCAUCAGUGUAUGACAAAUGAUUUUUAAUUAUUUUAUGAUUUGAUAAACUCAUAGCUAGACAUAUUCAUAACUACCAUAUAUUUUGGCCCACAAUAAGUAUAGCUGACCCAGAAACUAUUGUCCAUGUAUUUUUCAGGUCUCGCUUUGAUUACUGUAAUGCUAUGUACUUGGUACUUGAGUCUGAUCUUUAUCCGUUAGUAUUGCACACAUACUAGACCCUGUCAACUGGAUGGGUUAGUUCAACUCAAACAAAUUUACCUUAUCAUUAUGAAUUUUUUUCAAAUCGGAGGAAAGUGACUAAGAAUAUGAUUUAAAAAUGAUUUACAUUGAUGACCGAUGCCACAGACAAUGGCAAGAGUCAAUUUAAGUAUUUCUUAAUUAUAUCAGUUGAGUGAACUAGCCAUUUUCAAAUUAAUUAUUAUAAGCCUUAUUGGGUCAUGUAGUAAAUCAUCCAUCAGGACUGUCACCUCAGCUAAGAUGAAAGCUCUAACCUCCAUCACAACACAAACUCCAAAAUAAUAAAUCAGCAGAUAAUUUAUUCAACAUGGCAUCAUGACUUUGCGUAAACAUACACACCACUUUCCUAAAGCCAAAUGGCGUGUUAUCUGUACGCAUUCUGAGCUAUCCACGUGCAUGUCUACGCUGUAUACAGCAGAUGUAAACAGACACACCACGUGGCGUCGCCAUGUUGCGUCUUAUCAUGAGAACGUGACGUACUAUCGCAAGAACGU